rnacentral:rRNA from 1 species
UAGCUAGUUGGUGAGGUAAAGGCUUACCAAGGCGACGAUCUGUAGCGGGUCUGAGAGGAUGAUCCGCCACACUGGAACUGAGACACGGUCCAGACUCCUACGGGAGGCAGCAGUGGGGAAUUUUGGACAAUGGGGGCAACCCUGAUCCAGCCAUGCCGCGUGAGUGAAGAAGGCCUUCGGGUUGUAAAGCUCUUUCGGCCGGGAAGAAAUCGCAUGGGCCAAUACCCUGUGUGGAUGACGGUACCGGAAUAAGAAGCACCGGCUAACUUCGUGCCAGCAGCCGCGGUAAUACGUAGGGUGCGAGCGUUAAUCGGAAUUACUGGGCGUAAAGCGUGCGCAGGCGGUUUUGUAAGACAGGCGUGAAAUCCCCGGGCUUAACCUGGGAACUGCGUUUGUGACUGCAAGGCUAGAGUACGGCAGAGGGGGGUGGAAUUCCACGUGUAGCAGUGAAAUGCGUAGAGAUGUGGAGGAACACCAAUGGCGAAGGCAGCCCCCUGGGUCGAUACUGACGCUCAUGCACGAAAGCGUGGGUAGCAAACAGGAUUAGAUACCCUGGUAGUCCACGCCCUAAACUAUGUCAACUAGGUGUUGGGUGGGUAAAACCAUUUAGUACCGUAGCUAACGCGUGAAGUUGACCGCCUGGGGAGUACGGCCGCAAGGUUAAAACUCAAAGGAAUUGACGGGGACCCGCACAAGCGGUGGAUGAUGUGGAUUAAUUCGAUGCAACGCGAAAAACCUUACCUACCCUUGACAUGCCAGGAACUUGCCAGAGAUGGCUUGGUGCCCGAAAGGGAGCCUGGACACAGGUGCUGCAUGGCUGUCGUCAGCUCGUGUCGUGAGAUGUUGGGUUAAGUCCCGCAACGAGCGCAACCCUUGUCGUUAAUUGCCAUCAUUUGGUUGGGCACUUUAACGAGACUGCCGGUGACAAACCGGAGGAAGGUGGGGAUGACGUCAAGUCCUCAUGGCCCUUAUGGGUAGGGCUUCACACGUCAUACAAUGGUCGGUACAAAGGGUUGCCAAGCCGCGAGGCGGAGCCAAUCCCAGAAAGCCGAUCGUAGUCCGGAUUGCAGGCUGCAACUCGCCUGCAUGAAGUCGGAAUCGCUAGUAAUCGUGGAUCAGCAUGUCACGGUGAAUACGUUCCCGGGUCUUGUACACACCGCCCGUCACACCAUGGGAGCGGGUUCCGCCAGAAGUGGGUAGCCUAACCGCAAGGAGGGCGCUUACCACGGCGGGGUUCUUGACUGGGGUGAAGUCGUAACAAGGUAGCCGUAGGGGAACCUGCGGCUG